rnacentral:rRNA from 1 species
ACGGAAGGCAGCAGCUAAGAAUAUUCCGCAAUGGACGAGAGUCUGACGGAGCGACGCCGCGUGGAUGAUGAAGGUCGGAAGAUUGUAAAAUCCUUUUAUAACUGAGGAAUAAGCAGGGUGAGAGAAACGCCUCGUGGUGACUGUAGGUUAUGAAUAAGCAACGGCUAAUUACGUGCCAGCAGCCGCGGUAACACGUAAGUUGCGAGCGUUGUUCGGAAUUAUUGGGCGUAAAGGGCAAGUAGGCGGUUUUGCAAGCUUGAUGUGAAAGGCAGGAGCUUAACUCCUGGACUGCGUUGAGAACUGCAUGACUAGAGUCACUGAGGGGCAAUCAGAAUUCCUGGUGUAGGGGUGAAAUCUGUAGAUAUCAGGAAGAAUACCAAUGGCGAAGGCAGGUUACCAGCAGAUGACUGACGCUGAGGUGCGAAGGUGCGGGGAGCAAACAGGAUUAGAUACCCUGGUA